rnacentral:rRNA from 1 species
ACUCCUACGGGAGGCAGCAGUGGGGAAUAUUGCACAAUGGGCGCAAGCCUGAUGCAGCCAUGCCGCGUGUGUGAAGAAGGCCUUCGGGUUGUAAAGCACUUUCAGUCGUGAGGAAGGUAGUGUAGUUAAUAGCUGCAUUAUUUGACGUUAGCGACAGAAGAAGCACCGGCUAACUCCGUGCCAGCAGCCGCUGUAAUACGGAGGGUGCGAGCGUUAAUCGGAAUUACUGGGCGUAAAGCGCAUGCAGGCGGCCUGUUAAGUCAGAUGUGAAAGCCCGGGGCUUAACCUCGGAAUUGCAUUUGAAACUGGCAGGCUAGAGUCUUGUAGAGGGGGGUAGAAUUUCAGGUGUAGCGGUGAAAUGCGUAGAGAUCUGAAGGAAUACC